rnacentral:rRNA from 1 species
UGAGAAACCGAANAGAUCGAAUGGGGAGAUUCAUCGUCAGCGCGUCUGGUAUAUGUGCAGGUCGCGAUGUACGGGCCCUAAUAUCCCCUAGUUGGCUAUUAUCCGGCUUAACACGCGCCUGUAUCAUUUAGUUGCCAGCAUGUCGUCGGCGUGCACUUCUCCCCUAGUAGGACGUCGCGACCCGUUGGGUGUCGGUCUACGGCGCCCGGCCCUGGGAGCCUUUAGUGUCUGCGCGCGCCUUCUCUCGCGCGCCGCGUGCGCGUGCGCCCUCACAAGCGCGCGCGUCUCGUGUUGCGCGGGGUUGCGUGGCGUGGUCGCAUUGAAGACCCAAUAGGGCGCGUCUUGUGGCCGGCUGCCCGGCGGUAUUCGCAUGGUAUUGAGCCGCAAAAAUUUGAUAAUAAUUUGCGUCUGACCCGCCGCAAGCGGGGCCAGGCCAUUAUAUAUAUGUCAAUUAUAUAUUCUCUUAACCGCGGUCUCCGCGCGCGUGCUUAACAGGCGCGCGCGCGCGCGGCCGGGCCUGGCCAGCUGUUAGCUGUGCGGUGCUCUUUGACUGGCUCUGUUAUUAUAUUUACCGGUCGGCGACGCUACUGC